GACGAACGCUGGCGGCGUGCUUAACACAUGCAAGUCGAGCGAUGAAGUUUCUUCGGAAAUGGAUUAGCGGCGAACGGGUGAGGAACACGUGAAGAAUCUGCCCUCCACUUUGGGAUAACACCGGGAAACCGGUGCUAAUACCGAAUAUUGAAACAUAAGUGGCAUCACUGAGUUUUGAAAGAAUUUCGGUGGAGGAUGACUUCGCGGCCUAUCAGCUAGUUGGUGAGGUAAUGGCUCACCAAGGCAACGACGGGUAGCCGGCCUGAGAGGGCGACCGGCCACACUGGGACUGAGACACGGCCCAGACUCCUACGGGAGGCAGCAGUGGGGAAUAUUGGGCAAUGGAGGAAACUCUGACCCAGCGACGCCGCGUGCGGGAUGAAGGCCUUCGGGUUGUAAACCGCUUUCAGUAGGGAAGAAGCGAAAGUGACGGUACCUACAAAAGAAGCACCGGCUAACUAUGUGC
rnacentral:rRNA from 1 species